GAGCAAGACAGUGAUGCGUGGGCUGGCAUGGCUAAGAAAAGCAUCAUGAAGGAUGAGGAAGGAGAUUUUGAGAGGCCUCACACUAGAGACUGGAGCACAGGGAAGUUUGGAUGGGCUUGUUGUUCUUGGUUUGCCCAUUCAUCCCAGCCAGCAACCUCUUCCCGUGGGUUCCCUGGUGGCCGAGAGUGUCCUUUCAAUGCCCAGCUGGUCAUCAAGAACCCUGCAUCUGGGAAUGCAAAAUAAGGCUUGCUACUGCUCAGAGAAUAAGGCUGGUCUCUCCAAUGUCAUCAGAAUAUUACACCAUGUUCCACAGAACAAAUGUUUACUUAGAUGCCUUCCAUCCCUGUGGCACCCAGUGCUCUAAGACUUGCUGAUGUGCCCCGGUUGUCGGAUUACCAGCCAUGUGCAGGAUGUAAUCCUGAUAAGAGAGUUGAGACUACCGGUCACCCAGACGCCAUUUUCCUCUUCACAUGUACGAAUUCAGCACAAAAAAAAUAGUAAAUUAACUGAGUGAUUUUCUACUCUAAUAUUUUGCUCAAACUUGAGAUAUAUUACCCUGCCCUGUGGAGGACUGAAGUGUGACUGGACAGCUGUGAGACCCUUGCAGUGGCCACACAUGCUUCUGAUAUGUCUGUCGUUGAUGUUGUAAGCAGAAGAUCUAAAAGGAAAGAAAACCGUGCAAGCAGGAUUGAAGUUCCUUGAUGUUGCUGUUUUCUAUUCGGGUAUAAGCAAGAAGGAAGGAUGAUGCUCUUAAUGAUUCUGUACAAAAGAAACCCUAACUCACUUUGGAAUUUGUUAAAAUCUGGCAAAGGAAAGGUCUAACCUUAUUUUUAUUAAAAUUCACCUAAUGCACAGAGACUUGUUACAAUAAUAUUGCCGAUUAAUAAACCUAAUUACCAUUCCCAUAUGGACAACU
rnacentral:lncRNA from 1 species